AGAGUUUGAUCCUGGCUCAGAAUCAACGCUGGCGGCGCGCUUAACACAUGCAAGUCGAACGAGAAAGUCCGCAAGGAUGAGUAAAGUGGCGUACGGGUGAGUAACACGUGGAUCAUCUACCUCCGAGUGGGGAAUAACUCUGGGAAACCGGAGCUAAUACCGCAUAACGCCGAGAGGCCAAAGCAGCAAUGCGCUGGGAG
rnacentral:rRNA from 1 species